UACAGAGGUCUCAAGCGUUGUUCGGAUUCAUUGGGCGUAAAGGGUGCGUAGGCGGCGUGGUAAGUCGGGUGUGAAAUUUCGGAGCUUAACUCCGAAACUGCAUUCGAUACUGCGGUGCUUGAGGACUGGAGAGGAGACUGGAAUUCAUGGUGUAGCAGUGAAAUGCGUAGAGAUCAUGAGGAAGACCAGUGGCGAAGGCGGGUCUCUGGACAGUUCCUGACACUGAGACACGAAGGCCAGGGAGCAAACGGG
rnacentral:rRNA from 1 species